rnacentral:rRNA from 1 species
GCCAGACUCCUACGGGAGGCAGCAGUGGGGAAUAUUGCACAAUGGGGGGAACCCUGAUGCAGCGACGCCGCGUGAGCGAAGAAGUAUCUCGGUAUGUAAAGCUCUAUCAGCAGGGAAGAAAAAUGACGGUACCUGACUAAGAAGCCCCGGCUAACUACGUGCCAGCAGCCGCGGUAAUACGUAGGGGGCAAGCGUUAUCCGGAUUUACUGGGUGUAAAGGGAGCGCAGGCGGCGCGGCAAGUCUGAUGUGAAAGCCCGGGGCUCAACCCCGGGACUGCAUUGGAAACUGUCGCGCUCGAGUGUCGGAGAGGUAAGUGGAAUUCCUAGUGUAGCGGUGAAAUGCGUAGAUAUUAGGAGGAACACCAGUGGCGAAGGCGGCUUACUGGACGACAACUGACGCUGAGGCUCGAAAGCGUGGGGAGCAAACAGGAUUAGAUACCCCGGUA